rnacentral:rRNA from 1 species
UACGUAGGGCGCAAGCGUUGUCCGGAAUUAUUGGGCGUAAAGAGCUCGUAGGCGGUUUGUCGCGUCUGCUGUGAAAACCUAAGGCUCAACCUUGGGCUUGCAGUGGGUACGGGCAGACUAGAGUGCGGUAGGGGGUGACUGGAAUUCCUGGUGUAGCGGUGGAAUGCGCAGAUAUCAGGAGGAACACCGAUGGCGAAGGCAGGUCACUGG